rnacentral:rRNA from 1 species
UACGGAAGGGGCUAGCGUUGUUCGGAAUUACUGGGCGUAAAGAGCGCGUAGGCGGCUUGCCAAGUUGGGGGUGAAAUCCCGGAGCUCAACUCCGGAACUGCCUUCAAUACUGGCGAGCUCGAGUCCGGGAGAGGUGCGUGGAAUUCCCAGUGUAGAGGUGAAAUUCGUAGAUAUUAGGAAGAACACCAGUGGCGAAGGCGGCUCCCUGGGCCGGUACUGACGCUGAGGUGCGAAAGCGUGGGGAGCAAACAGG